rnacentral:rRNA from 1 species
AUUGAACGCUGGCGGCAUGCCUAAUACAUGCAAGUCGAGCGUGCGGCGGACGGGUGAGUAAUGUAUGGGGACUGCCCGAUAGAGGGGGAUAACUACUGGAUACGGUUGCUAAUACCGUAUUCUAUGCGAUACCCAAUAUGGGAUUAGCUAGUAGGUGAGGUAAUGGCUCACCUAGGCGACGAUCCCUAGCUGGUCUGAGAGGAUGAUCAGCCACACUGGGACUGAGACACGGCCCAGACUCCUACGGAGGCAGCAGUGGGGAAUAUUGCGCAAUGGGCGCAAGCCUGAUGCAGCAAUGCCGCGUGUAUGAAGAAGGCCCUAGGGUUGUAAAGUACUUUCAGUCGGGAGGCGUUACCGACAGAAGAAGCACCGGCUAACUCCGUGCCAGCAGCCGCGGUAAUAC